AUGAAGGCUGCUGCUCUGCUGGUGGUACUGCUGUGCUCAGGUGGAGCCUGGGCCAUAAGAUGCCACAACUGCACGAACGAUAACGGGAACACCUGCUCAGGACCUGUAGACUGCCCCAGCUACGCGAACGCCUGCGCUUCAGAAGUGCUGAAUAUCAAACUGCCAGACCAGACGGUGGCCCGGGCAGCCAAGACCUGUGUGCAAUCGUGCGAGACCCUCAAUCCCAUGCCAUCCCGUGCUUCAUCCAGAGCUUCAGUCAGCGAUCUACAUGUCUCCAUCUACUGUUGCAACACCAACCUGUGUAACCGAGCUGGGGGCCAAGGGCCAGGGGCCACCACCGUGGGCCUGAUGCUUGUGGCCAGUGUCCUUGUCACCCUCUUAGGGGCCUCCCUGUGACCCAGAGGUGCGGGACAUGAGUGAGGCAGCACAACCCAGGACACCCAGACCCCUAAGCCCCUGUCCCCAUCAGGCCGUCUGUGAGCUCGUAAAUUGAGGACAGAGUACAGAGAAGGUGGAGGGCCUGGUGGGGUGGUCACAGAGGACCACGCCCAUUUGCCCCAGAUCUUCAAGGCCAACAGAGGCACCCCACCCCAGCACACCGACGCAGAGAACCUCCUGGAGUCUUUGGCUUUUUCUGGGUAUCCUGCCCGGGGCCUUCAGCCAUCGGUGCCAGACCUACCACGGUCCUCGGGGAGCUGCUCCCCCAGCUGUGCAGAGACUUUCCGUCCCCCUGGGUGGAGUGUGAACCCAAGGCCUGUCUUCCAGCCCAGAGCCACUGGCCAGGCUGGGGCUCCACCCGCAGCGUCCCCUUCCUGCGGCACUGCUUAUCCCUGUCCGACCCCUGCCCACGCCCCCCGCUUCCCCAGGAGUAGCUCUGGAAUAAAGUUCAUGCAUGUCAGUCCUGCCUCAGCGUCUGCUUCAAGGGAACCAAACCUGAAACCCAGCUGCGGGCCCCACCACGACCUCGGAGCACAGGAGGAGAAGUGUCUUCUGUGCUGGGGUUCCAAGGUCUCUGGGCGGGUAACUCCUUCCGCCUUAUGAAACCAUUAAACAAAACCAAAAAGUGUGCAAUUUGUGUGGUACCAAGGCAGGCAGACAGGAAG
rnacentral:lncRNA from 1 species